UCCCUCUGUAGACCAGGCUGCCCUCAA
rnacentral:piRNA from 1 species